GUCCUUUUGAUUUUUAUUUAAGGUCUGACCUGCCCACUGAUUUAUUUAAUGGCCGCGGUAUUUUGACCGUGCAAAGGUAGCAUAGUAAUUUGUCUUUUAAUUGAAGGCUUGUAUGAAUGGUUGGACGAGAAAACUACUUUCUUUAUAAUAAAAUUGUUAAUUUUAUUUUUUAGUUAAAAAGCUAAAAUGUUGUUGUAGGACGAGAAGACCCUAUAGAACUUUAUAUUUAUUUUUUUAUCAAUAUUUUUGGUUAAUAAUAUGUUGUAUUUUUAUAAAUAUUUUGUUGGGGCGACAAGAAAAUUUAUUUAACUUUUUUUAUUAAUUUCAUUAAUUAAUGUAUAAAUGAUCCUUUAUUAUGGAUAAUUAGAAUAAGUUACCUUAGGGAUAACAGCGUAAUUUUUUUGGAGAGUUCUUAUCGAUAAAAAAGUUUG
rnacentral:rRNA from 1 species